UCUAUUAUUUUAUAUAUUAGUGAGUUCCAUGAAUAUCCUUUAUGUUAUGUAAAACUCUUUCAGUAUGAUAGCUUUUUGUUCGUUUGUGUUUCAUCACAAUUUUCCCAAACGUAUUAGAGGAACUUAACUUGUGCUUUUGCCCUCAUAGUGGACUGAUCCUGCGAAUUCUGUCUUACUGCAAGAAGUGGUCCCAGUGAUACCAACUGGGACCAGUAAGCUGUGGAUUUGCAGGACUAGAGCCCGUAAGAAAGCUCUCACAGGGCCUUAGCACAGAAGAUGCUGAAGGAGGAAAUAGAAUGAAGAGAACUUACGGGUUUUUUUUCAGGUUUUGACUGGGUUUUUUUUGUUCUUCAUCAUUUCUUCCUGAACCUGCUCCAUCUAAAAAUCCUUUCAAUCCCCAAGAGUGCCUGGAACCUUAAUAAUGGAAAAGCAAUAUAAAUUCAAAAAUAACCAAUAGGGAUGUGGAAAGGUUUUGUAUCUGCACUAAUUGAAAGUAAAUGAGAAGAAUAACCAUAUGGAGAUACAUAUACAUACAUGUGGACAAUCAAAUAUUUGAGAAUUCUAUCAUUUCUUAGAACUGGGGAUAUAAUGCACUGUACAAUCUUUUUUCCUCUUUUGCCAAAGUGUGUUUUAGCAUUGUACACUGCUUUAAAACAAUACAAUUUACAAGUGGCUUUAUGUGUUCUGAAUAUUUUUGCCAUAAGUAAAUGCAGUGAGUGGGUAUUGAGUGGGGGGAAAAAAGAAAAUUCACCUUGCUUAUAACAGUACACUUUAGCUUGCAAGUUACUGUACUCAAUAAUGCUGUAUUUGAAUUAAAUUGUUUUGUGUCAUUAAAAAACAAUAAUGAAAGAAUAUAGAUAGAAGAAAAAGCAUUCAGAAGUUUAAAAAAACUUGAAUGAAAUGGAUUUUACAGAAGGCUUUGAUAGUUCUUUUCAAAUGUAUUAUUUAUUUUAUUUGUGCCAUGCAUUUUUCUCACCAAAUGACCUUACCUGUAAUACAGUCUUGUUUGUCUCUGUUUACAACCAUGUAUUUAUUGUAAUGUACAUACUGUAAUGUUAAUUGUAAAUUAUCAGUUCUUACUAUAACAUCAUCCUUGUCAGGGUGGUGUUGCUAUCUUUGGAAACUCUUGGUGAGAGAAUGAUUAUUGUGUAUACAUAUUCCUUGUACAUUUUUUUCUCCUGUAAUAUAUUCAGUGUCACCUUAGAGCUUGUUUAUGGAAGAUUCAAGAAAAGUAUAAAAUACAUAAAGAUAUAUCAAUAAAA